UGGUCCACGCCCAAAUACAUAUGAAGUUUAUGCGUAGCACUUCGCGGAAGGCCAUUGAUUUUCAGCAUUAAGGCAGUUACCAAUAUAACUGGUUCGCGUCAUCCAAUGCUUUUGAAGCUGUAGCGUUGACCGGGGACCAGCGACCAUGUGCGUUUUUUUCCACGCAUUCGAAAUUGGCGGGCACGGAGGGUGGAGAUAUUUCGUCACAGCAGUCAAAAUGGUUAUCAUGACAGAGCUAGAUUCCAAGCCAGUGAACCACAUCAAGCCAAACUCCAAACUGAAGGAAUGCCAGAACCUGCCAUCAAAGCCCUUGCCACUCGAUCUUGGCUUUUCGCAAUUUCUACAGUGCCCGUCGAACAAUGUUUUUGCUCUAUAAUUAGGCCUAUGUACCAGUUAAGUCUAGGGCCAGUUCUCUUGGGGCAUGAAUUUAAAUAAUUUCAACUGUAAUAACAUGUAGUUAAACUAUUAAACAUAACCUAAGGGGUCACUUGAUUUGAAAUACCUUAACAAAUGGACUAAGACUUUGUGAUGCUUAGACCUCAAGAAUAUGGAUGCUUAGAACUACGUCUUCAAAUUGAUAUGAAAUAAACUAGAAAACAUAAACAGCACAGUGAAUGUAACCCAUCCUCAGGUCAAUGCUAAUGAAAGUUUAAUUAAACUUCAAAUACUGUCGUGACUGUUAUGACUGCAACUUUAAAGUACUUUACAAUAAACUGAGUAAUCUUAUGCUUAGACCUUAAGAAAAUAAAUGCCUAGACCCAAAUCAUCAACUCGAUUUAAGAUAAAUUAGAAAACAUAAACAGCACAAUGCAAAAUGUAACCAAAUCUAAAGUCAAACCUAACAUUAAACCUUAAAUUUUAAGCAACACAUUUGGGAGGCGGGGUAAAUCCAGUUUUGAAUACAAAUUCAAGUAGCAUCCAAGUAUAAA